AGGUAAAGUGGUGGUGGCUGUCUUGAAGUCCUUGGUCCUUUAUGCUGACCAACUCCUUGUGUAAUGGAAAAGACGAGAACUCCAUCUGUUUAGACAAAAAUAUGACAUUGAUAAGACUGUAAUGAGGUCGUAACUUGCCAGAAAAGAAGCUCUGAAACAGGAAAAUCAGGCUGCACUGCUGAACACGAUGAGGAAAGUGUCAGUGUGAUAAGACUGCAUACUUCAUCUACUUCAUCUCUUGGGACUUUUUGUUCUUCAAACAUAAAAAUACAUUUUGUCAGUAGUUGUUUAAUUAGGUGUUGCAGGCAGAUCUAGUCAAUAGAAAGUAAACCUUGGCUGUUCCUUCGCUUCCAGUUUUCUAUAUAUGAUUUUGGUAGCUAUCAGAAUACAGAUGUGUGGUGAGAGUCUAGACCACCCACUGAAGAAAAAUGUGUCCAGGUCCAUACCUUCCUGGAGGAAAGACAUACCUAUAAAAUCUGUCUGCUGAUUUUAUAUUUAAGAGUGAUAUUUUGUACUUUUGACAGAAGGAUCUUAAGAGCUGACAGAAAUUUUGAUUUCAUGUCUCCGUAGCUUAAGACACUGUGUGUGAUAGCUUAGGUUUCAUUCAUUAAUCCUGAAGGAAAUAAAAAGCUUGAAUCAAAAUAUUAAAAUUUCCUGACAUUAUGGUUGAGAUAAUAAAGAAAUGAUGGAAAUGGC